rnacentral:rRNA from 1 species
GUCUAUGGCCAUGCCACCCUGAACGUGCCUGAUUUUGCCUGAUCUUGGAAGCUAAGCAGGGUUGGGCGUGGUUAGUACUUGGAUGGGAGACCACCUAGGAAUACCAGGUGCUGUAGGCG